rnacentral:rRNA from 1 species
UACGUAGGGGGCAAGCGUUGUCCGGAAUCAUUGGGCGUAAAGCGCGUGUAGGCGGCUGGGUAAGUCCGCUCUGAAAGCCCGGGGCUCAACCCCGGGAGGCGGGUGGAUACUGCUCAGCUCGAGUCCGGAAGAGGAGUGUGGAAUUCCUGGUGUAGCGGUGAAAUGCGCAGAUAUCAGGAGGAACCCCAAUGGCGAAGGCAGCACUCUGGGACGGUACUGACGCUGAGACGCGAAAGCGUGGGGAGCAAACAGG